rnacentral:rRNA from 1 species
GUGGGGAAUAUUGGGCAAUGGGGGAAACCCUGACCCAGCGACGCCGCGUGAGGGAAGACGGCCUUCGGGUUGUAAACCUCUUUUGUACGAGAAGAAGGAAGUGACGGUACUGUACGAAUAAGUCCCGGCUAACUACGUGCCAGCAGCCGCGGUAAUACGUAGGGGACGAGCGUUGUCCGGAAUUACUGGGCGUAAAGGGCGCGCAGGCUGUGCUGCAAGUCAGCUGUGAAAUGUCUGGGCUUAACCCGGGCAUGCGGUUGAGACUGCAGUGCUGGGUUGCUGUAGAGGCAAGUGGAAUUCCCAGUGUAGCGGUGAAAUGCGUAGAUAUUGGGAAGAACACCGGUGGCGAAGGCGACUUGCUGGGCAGCAACUGACGCUGAGGCGCGAAAGCCAGGGGAGCAAACGGGAUUAGAUACCCUUGUAGUCC